CCACUUCCCCUACCCCGUUCGGUUGGCCGUUUCCGUUCCGGUCCCCCUACCCCGAACCCGUACGGUCCCGGGCCCGGCCGGUACCCCGUAACCCGGUCGGCCGUACGGAACGGAAACGGAACCGACGUCGGGGCCCGGGUCGGUCCGGUACCUUAAACUAACUAGUCGAACGUAAGGUAAACGGAAACCGUCCGUAGGAAAGGAAGGGAAGGGAACGUUCCGUUCGUCCGUUCCUUUUUCCGGUUUAGGGUACGUACGGUUAAGGGUUUCGAACCGGGGUAACCGGGGGUAGGUAAACGGUAAACCGUACGGGUUAAACCGGUUUAACCGUCCCGUUCCGUUUAGUUACGGGGGACGGGGGUAAACUUAAACUUUGGUUAAACGGGAAAACGUAAGUACGAACUUAAACCGUACCCGCUAAACUAAAACUAAGGUAGGUAGUUACGAACCAACUAGUUCGUACUUAAUUUUUAUUUAAGGGGAAACGGGACUUAAGUUUCCGUACCUACUAACGAAUAGGUCCGGUACCUCGGUUCGGUUAGUUAAGUUCACGUUAGGUAGGUGGAAGUUAGCGUCCACCCUAGGCGACCGAGUACUAUAGCCGACCUGAGAAGGGUGAGUCGCCCACACUGGGACUGAGACACGGCCCAGACUCCUACGGGAGGCAGCAGUAGGGAAUCUUCGGCAAUGGGGGCAACCCUGACCGAGCAACGCCGCGUGAGUGAAGAAGGUUU
rnacentral:rRNA from 1 species